rnacentral:rRNA from 1 species
GACGAACGCUGGCGGCGUGCUUAACACAUGCAAGUCGAACGGAAAGGCCCUGCUUUUGUGGGGUGCUCGAGUGGCGAACGGGUGAGUAACACGUGAGUAACCUGCCCUUGACUUUGGGAUAACUUCAGGAAACUGGGGCUAAUACCGGAUAGGAGCUCCUGCUGCAUGGCGGGGGUUGGAAAGUUUCGGCGGUUGGGGAUGGACUCGCGGCUUAUCAGCUUGUUGGUGGGGUAGUGGCUUACCAAGGCUUUGACGGGUAGCCGGCCUGAGAGGGUGACCAGCCACAUUGGGACUGAGAUACGGCCCAGACUCCUACGGGAGGCAGCAGUGGGGAAUAUUGCACAAUGGGCGGAAGCCUGAUGCAGCAACGCCGCGUGCGGGAUGACGGCCUUCGGGUUGUAAACCGCUUUCGCCUGUGACGAAGCGUGAGUGACGGUAAUGGGUAAAGAAGCACCGGCUAACUACGUG